AGCUAAGAUCACGUGCAGUAUCUGUUCUUAUCAGUUAAUAUCUGAUACAUUCUCCAUUCAAGAACAAUAUAUUAAAUGGAGUUUUGGAAAUAGGAGAUGGAAUAGGAGCUUGUCACGUCCACACAUUGACCUGGUAUGGUAGUAACUUCAGGAAUGGUGUAUCCCCUUGGGGGGAAAAAGCCAAGAAAACGUACUUGUACAGUCAAACCAUGGGAGAAGGAAUGGAAAAAUCUAUCAGGUAUUGAAAGAGACAUUGAGAGACUUCCCUAGCAAACGAAGAGACAUAUAGAAAAGAAAAUCAAUCUGGGGGCUUAUGUUCUAGGAGAGAUCACGGAGAAUAUGAAGGGGGAAAAGGACACUUGUGCUUCCAGAUUAAAAGGGCCUAUUAAAUGCCCAGCAUAAUAGAGAAAAAUGGACCCUACAUUAGAACACUAGGCUUAGAGAAAAAUGUCUUACAAUCUUCCAGAGAAAAAACAGAUAUCAUAUAAUCAGAAUGGUGCUGGGGCUCUUAAUAGUAACACUCCAUGCUAGAAGAUGGUGGAGUAAUGCAAUGCCUUUCAUAUUUUCAGGGAAAUGGUUUCUAAUUCAGAAUUCCAUACUCCAGCUGUGUUAAGGAGGUUAUUAGUUAGACCAGAAGAGGAAGAUAUUGGAUCCAGGAACUUAAGACCUUAACUCAUGAAAGGUAACUGGAACCCCAAGGCUGUGGCUAAAGGAAUCUUAGGGUAGCAGGUGCAAAGAAUGUUCAGUCCAUUAGAAGGAUCUGGACAGAUUUCUUGAAGGAGCUGAAAAAGAUGGAAUGUUGUUUUUUUUUGAGGGGUUGUUUUUUUUUUUUUUUUUUUUGAGACAGGGUCUCACUAUGUAGCCCAGGCUGGCCUUGAACUUGAGGGACUCCUCCUGCCUCAGCCUCCUGAGUGCUGGGAUUACAGGCAUGCGCCACUAUGCCUAGCUCAGUGAUGAACAUUGUUUUGUUUCAAAUGAUUUGAGAGGAUAUAUAGGCUUUUAGAAGAGUAUGGGCUAAAUUAGUGAUCAAUUCAGAGAAUAAGAAAAUUUAAAAAUUACAGCUAUUCAGGAAAAACAAAGUUGUCUUAAGAUGAG
rnacentral:lncRNA from 1 species